AGUAAUGCCAUGUGAUUGUAUUAUGUGAUUUACCCUUGGGGUUUAUUUAUUGUUUGUAUAUAUCAAACAUUAUAGUCAUUCUAAAAAAAAGUUAUAUUAAAAUUUUGUAUAUAUAAAAUCUGAUUGUGUGCACUGUGUGUAUUGGCAAGGCCUCUACUGGUGACCUAUUGUCUUGUAUGUUGAUUAGGACAAGUUUUAAGGACUUCAAUGCCAUUGUAAUGCGUUGAAACAUUUGUGUAUUUUAUCACACUUUUAAAUCUACACACAAAGCUACUCUCUUUGUGAUUUUUGAGGUGAACGUGUGAACUUUUUAAAUCAUGAAUACAGUUGUCAGAUUUCAUGUAUUGUUUUGACAUCAACUUUUUUUCUGGUUUUUUAAUUACUCAAGACUGCUAAUACCUCUAAUUAUUUAGUUUUUUUUUAAUUCUUCCAUUUUGGGAGAGAGUGUAUCAAGAGUCACUAUAAUAUUGUAAAAUUCAAAUAUUCUCAUCACAACAUGCGAUGUACAUUACUCUGAUUUGCAAAUAAUUCAACUGUUUGGUUUGUACUGCAAACCCCCACUAGACCAUUCCUUAGUAAUCAUAAUAUAUUAGGCUCUCUGAUUCUGUUGCUGUUGUAUUUAUUUGUCAUAAAAAUGAUUUAAUUUUUUGUUUGUUUAAAAAUGAUUGUAAGUUUCCAUUAGAUCAUAAAUUUGAGCAUUGGAUUCAUCACAUUAAAGUAUUGUGAAAUAUC
rnacentral:sRNA from 1 species